AGAGCGAACGCUGGCGGCAGGCCUAACACAUGCAAGUCGAGCGCCCGUAGCAAUACGGGAGCGGCAGACGGGAUAGUAACACGUGGGAACGCGCCCUUCGGUUCGGAAUAACUCAGGGAAACUUGAGCUAAUACCGGAUACGCCCUUACGGGGAAAGAUUUAUUGCCGAAGGAACGGCCCGCGUCCGAUUAGCUAGUUGGUGAGGUAAUGGCUCACCAAGGCGACGAUCGGUAGCUGGUCUGAGAGGAUGACCAGCAUCACUGGGACUGAGACACGGCCCAGACUCCUACGGGAGGCAGCAGUGGGGAAUAUUGGACAAUGGGCGCAAGCCUGAUCCAGCCAUGCCGCGUGGAUGAUGAAGGCCUUAGGGUUGUAAAGUCCUUUUAACGGGGAAGAUAAGUGACGGUACCCGUAGAAUAAGCCCCGGCUAACUUCGCGCCAGCAGCCAC
rnacentral:rRNA from 1 species